rnacentral:lncRNA from 1 species
AAAGAGGAGCCUGCUGGUCUGCUGGCGGGCAGGCGGCGCUGGGCCGGAGCCUCUCCCUCCGGUGCGCACAGCGCACCCUCUCCUCCCCCGGCCGCCCGUCGCAGCGCGGAGAGGGCGUGUCGGCACCCUGCCUGGCGAGCGCCCACCCCUACAAUGGCUGCGAGCGCGCGGGACGGAGGGUGCACCGCCGCUCCCCGGGGACUUGCACGGGUGGCGCGCCUAGCCCAGAGCCCGCUUGUAGUGAGCGCUCAGUAGGGCGGGAAAGCUGCUGCCGCUACUGCGGCCUUCUGAGAAGACGCCCAUUCUCUGAUGUCAGGACUGCAUCGCCGAGUCCUGAUUGCAAAUAGCGAAAUAUAUAAUUAAGGAGAGUUCGGGGGCGUAUCCUGCAAUGGGAUGCCGAGUUCGAUAAAGUUGCAGGAUGCUGGGAAAGUGGAUUGAUUUGCUGUUGCUAAAUGAAUGGAAACAGCGUUAGAGCUUCUGUCCACGAUCCAUCAGUCUAUCGAGAUUGCUGAUUGCCUAUGACUUGGACGGUUGAUGGUUUUCAGGCCCACUGAGAGCAGCCAGCGUUGGUAUAACCGCAGGGAGCCCUCCUGGGAGGUUGAACCUGCAGAGCGCAAAUGUGCCCAGGUUGAUUUGGGGCCUAGUGGUCCAUUUUCACAGCUCCACUGCCUAUCUGCAUAACCAGGAGCCCUCAUUCAGAUGAACGCCAAAUGGGCCAGAGGGAGGAGAAUCAAAUGAGCAACUUUUAAAAGAUAUUAAGACAUAGGCACCUAACUCCGGACAGUUCCUUUAACCCUUGAGCUAACCAUUUGAAGCACAAAACAUAACAAAAGAAAAGACUGGGGGGAGUGGGGCCAAAAGAAACCAAGUGCAAAAUUCUGUACACUUGUGUCAGAUUCACUCCGUAAUGGGAAAAGGUCUGGCUUUGAAAACUUUAUGGAUCAAAGGGAUGCAUGGAGUUACACAGCACAGCUGCAGAAGAUAAUGUUCCCCUGGAUCACUCUGCCCAACUCUUAACUGCAACCCACCUUCCCCAUCCGUCUCCCCGAAAUCACCCGGAAGGGUGUUACCUUCAGGAAGUAACUGAUCUCUUGAUCACCCCUGCUGGAUCCUGUCCCCAAGGGCGUUCGAAUGCAUCCGACUCAUCUUCACCUUGCCAAUAACGGGUGCUUGACACAUCGUUUGCUGCCAAUCAUUAUUGUGAUUUUAAUACUAUUGGUAUUCUAACUAUCAAGAUGACUGCUUGUAGAGCCAGAUUGCCUGGAUUCAAACUCCAGUUCACAACCUACUAACUGUAUGCCUUUAGGUAAACUCAGAUGCCUCUGAUGGAUUCGAAAUAACCAGAUAUAUUUCUGAAUUGCUUCAUAUGAUGAAGAAACUGAGGCACAGAAGGUGGGUCAGGAGGGAGGAAGCAAAAGAGCUAGAAUUCAAACAUAGCAGCAUGACUUCGAGCCCACUGUCUUAACCACUUCAGAUAACUGCCUCUAAUGCAAAGACCCCUCUCGAAGGUCAGAAGUUUCACAAACACUGCCUUAAGUCUCAUGGCUAACUGGGAGGCCCCACAGAGCAACGUGGCUGUGCAUUAGACUCACCUGAGGAGCUUUUAAAACAUACCUAAGCUUGGCUAGGCACGGUGGCUCACAUGUAUAAUCCAAGCACUUUGGGAAGCUGAGGUGGGAGGAUCACCUGAGCCUAGGAGCUCAAGACCAGCCUGGGCAACAUAGUGGGACCGCAUCUGUACAAAAAAUUAGACAGCUGUGAUGGCAUGUGCCUACAGUCCCAGCUACUCAGGAGGCUGAGGUGAGAGGAUCGCUUGAGUGCAGGAUGUCAAGUCUGCAGUGAGAUGUGUUCACACCAUUGCAUUCCAGCCUGGAUGACAGAACGAGAACUUGUCUCAAUUAAAAAACAAAACAAAACAAACAAAAAAAAAACAAAACCCAAGCUUGAAGCAAAUACCAUAAUGGGGUAACAUUUGGGAAAUCUAAUGAAGGGGAAAUGAGAUAUCUUUGUACUAUUCUUGCAACAUUUCUAUAAGUCUGAAAUUAUGUCAAAAUAAAAAAUUAAAAGAAAAAAGAAUGAAUUAGAAUAAUAUUCAUUGACCUGGAGGGAUUUCUGCAGAAAUUAUUGUCUUCAUAGUAAGAUCCAGAA